rnacentral:rRNA from 1 species
UGGGGAAUAUUGCGCAAUGGCCGCAAGGCUGACGCAGCGACGCCGCGUGUGGGAUGACGGCCUUCGGGUUGUAAACCACUGUCGGGGGGGACGAAUACAGGGCUUCGAAUAGGAGACCCUGGGUGACGGUACCCCCAAAGGAAGCACCGGCUAACUCCGUG